rnacentral:rRNA from 1 species
UACGGAGGGUGCAAGCGUUAUCCGGAUUCACUGGGUUUAAAGGGUGCGUAGGUGGGUUGGUAAGUCAGUGGUGAAAUCCCCGAGCUUAACUUGGGAACUGCCAUUGAUACUAUCAGUCUUGAAUACCGUGGAGGUCAGCGGAAUAUGUCAUGUAGCGGUGAAAUGCUUAGAUAUGACAUAGAACACCAAAUUGCGAAGGCAGCUGGCUACACGGAUAUUGACACUGAGGCACGAAAGCGUGGGGAUCAAAC